rfam:Dipodomys ordii contig_41263, whole genome shotgun sequence.
GGUGGCUCAGUGGUAGAGUGCAUGCCUUGCAUGCAUGAAGCCCUGGGUUCAAUUCCUCAGCACCA